rnacentral:lncRNA from 1 species
UCAAUAUAAUUGCUAAUAUACAUUUUGCAUAACCAACAAAAGAAUACAAUUUAUUUUAUAUCAGUAGUAACUCCAUAUCAAUAGUAACUAACUUCAACCUUUAGUACUAACACACUAUCAGCAACACUUUUCCCGCUAACUACCAUGCUUACUUUAGUGUUAGUUUCCACUGAUUACCAACCAAUAGCUUAAUGUAGACUUUAGCACUAUAAUCCAAGAGAAAUAAUACAGAAUGUGGUGUUUAUGCUACAACUAACUUAGCUCUAGCAUGGCCUUGUGACACCUGGAACUGCUCGGUGAUGCCCAAAUGUGCCAUCAGAAGCCAAACAUGAGUCAGAAAUUCACCUCCUUUCCGAAGUUGUUGUUCAUGCUGGAACCCUCUGCAGUGAGUAGCAGCAUAUGCUAGAAUCUCAAUCCAUAGUUGACUCAUGACUUUCCACAUGCGUUCGGUUUCCAUUUUCUUCAAUGUUAACUCAAGCCUGCAACCAUCGAAAAAUAUAUGCUUGCUUUCCAAACGAUACACAUCAAUGUCCCCUUGAUUGUCAAGCUCUUCUGAGUAAAAGCAUAGAGUGGUAGCAAUGUGCCAUAAGAUAAUGCUUUGAUCGAAAUCGACUUUGUUGAUACUCCAUAGCUGAUCAUCACACGCAUUCUUACGGAGAGAAAAACUACCUUUGUGAUUACAUAAUGCUUUUGGAUCAGAGCUGCACCUCAUGAACUCUUGAAAUUGGUUGUAGAUAAGAUUUUUCAGGUUGCUAGAAACUUUGCUGUACGUCUUGUACCGAUGCUUUACGCGAUACUUUUCUAUCCCAAGGAGUUUCUGAGUUGUCAAAAGACUAGCAGGCUUCUCUUCAAGCGCGACACUUAGUAGAUCUAACUGCGCGAUGCAUCCUGACCAUCUUAGUUUAGUUGGUUGCUU